rnacentral:rRNA from 1 species
UACCGAGGUCUCAAUCGUUGUUCGGAUUCAUUGGGCGUAAAGGGUGCGUAGGCGGCGCGGUAAGUCGGGUGUGAAAUCUCGGAGCUUAACUCCGAAACUGCAUUCGAUACUGCCGUGCUUGAGGACUGGAGAGGAGACUGGAAUUUACGGUGUAGCGGUGAAAUGCGUAGAUAUCGAGAGGAACACCUGCGGCGAAGGCGGGUCUCUGGGCCGAUACUGACGCUGAGGAGCGAAAGCGUGGGGAGCGAACAGG